UAAGGAAUAUUGGUCAAUGGACGCAAGUCUGAACCAGCCAUGCCGCGUGAAGGAUGAAGGUCCUCUGGAUUGUAAACUUCUUUUAUCUGGGACGAAAACGGGAUUUUUAUCUCAAUUGACGGUACCAGAGGAAUAAGCACCGGCUAACUCCGUGCCAGCAGCCGCGGUAAUACGGAGGGUGCGAGCGUUAUCCGGAUUUACUGGGUUUAAAGGGUGCGUAGGUGGGCUUAUAAGUCAGUGGUGAAAUCUCCGAGCUUAACUUGGAAACUGCCGUUGAUACUAUAGGUCUUGAAUUAUCUGGAGGUAAGCUGAAUAUGUCAUGUAGCGGUGAAAUGCUUAGAUAUAACAUAGAACACCAAUUGCGAAGGCAGCUUACUACAUAUAAAUUGACGCUGAGGCACGAAAGCGUGGGGAUCAAACA
rnacentral:rRNA from 1 species